rnacentral:lncRNA from 1 species
UAAUUCUUAAAUUUUUAGCACAACCAAUGGUUGCUUCACAUGUUAACUUUAAUCUUAAUGUCACCUCGCACGGCAACUGGUUAAUGCUGAAAUUUAAAAGGAAUAGGCCAAUAUAUUAAAGCGAACCUAUAUGAGUCAAUAAAUAAUGAGAGAUGCAAAUUUACCACUUUAGAGCCACGCUAUUCGUUCUAAAAUCUCCAAUAACCACUUAAGCAAAAAAUGAACCCGAAGGAACAAAGGACAAAAUUGUCCAGAACCACAGUUUUACCCAAAAUAGAAAUCGAACACUACCACAAGGUUCACCACGCUUCCAAGAGUAAUCUGUCUUCAGACGCCAUCUCCGAAAUCCUUUCCACCUACUUGCAAACGCCUCUGCAAAACCUCCAAACAUCUCUUUGUGUCGGACAAGUAGGAGCGCUUCAACCUAUAUGAUUUAUCAGGGGUCUUGGUUUGUCCAAUCAGCCACUGGUUUAGUCAAAAAUUGCACAAACAGGUGUGAUUUUUGUAAAAAAACUCAACAGAUUUUUCAUUCUUUUUGUCAAUUUUUGUCUGUUUUUGGGUCAGAUUUUUUAGCCAAAUCCACCACCUAUGAGCUCCAAUGCCAAUUGUUGUGGAAACUCGUUCCAAGAUGUUCAAAUCGGUGUUUUUGGGCACAGUUUCACGUUACAUUUCUCUACGAAACAAUCAUUCCAAACUACUCCGACCCACAAUCAAUAUAUUUACUUCGGUUGCUUCUCAAUCUCUCCACAAAGGACAACAUAACGGUAUUGAUUUGCAAGCCACAAAGGCAUGAGAACUAACAAUGAAUAAGGCACAAAGGUGAGACAAACGAGGGAGAAAGUCACUGAUUUUCCUCUCCAAAAUAACACGUUUUCUUCCACUAUCAGAGCAGGUUCUUCUCUCUCAGUUAGGCAACCAAAUAUUCUUCACAGCAAGCAUAAAGAACAGCCAUGUUUUUCUCUCAAAGGGACAAAUCACACACGUUAAAAUGCAAAGAAAGGAGGCUAUAUAUGGUCUAAUAUAAUCAAUUUCUACAGAACUUGUACAAAAGUUAAUAUUACACUAAGUAUCCAAGUAAUCUCGAAAAAAAUGAAGAAAUCCUCUCAUAACGACAACCUUAACACUGUAGUUAGUAUUCA